rnacentral:rRNA from 2 species
UUUGAAGCGUGGACGCCAGUCUGCGUGGAGCCGACCUUGAAAUACCACCCUUUAAUGUUUGAUGUUCUAACGUGGAUCCGUAAUCCGGGUUGCGGACAGUGUCUGGUGGGUAGUUUGACUGGGGCGGUCUCCUCCUAAAGAGUAACGGAGGAGCACGAAGGUUGGCUAAUCCUGGUCGGACAUCAGGAGGUUAGUGCAAUGGCAUAAGCCAGCUUGACUGCGAGCGUGACGGCGCGAGCAGGUGCGAAAGCAGGUCAUAGUGAUCCGGUGGUUCUGAAUGGAAGGGCCAUCGCUCAACGGAUAAAAGGUACUCCGGGGAUAACAGGCUGAUACCGCCCAAGAGUUCAUAUCGACGGCGGUGUUUGGCACCUCGAUGUCGGCUCAUCACAUCCUGGGGCUGAAGUAGGUCCCAAGGGUAUGGCUGUUCGCCAUUUAAAGUGGUACGCGAGCUGGGUUUAGAACGUCGUGAGACAGUUCGGUCCCUAUCUGCCGUGGGCGCUGGAGAACUGAGGGGGGCUGCUCCUAGUACGAGAGGACCGGAGUGGACGCAUCACUGGUGUUCGGGUUGUCAUGCCAAUGGCACUGCCCGGUAGCUAAAUGCGGAAGAGAUAAGUGCUGAAAGCAUCUAAGCACGAAACUUGCCCCGA